GACGGCUGGACAUCCUUCUUGUACCUUGGCGCUAGCUGGAUGACGGGACCUCAUCAUGAUCAGUGUAUUGCUUUCCUAUGUCUACAAGAACCAUCAUGCGUGGCCUGUGACGGCAAGCUUUUGUGGGCAGCCAGUGCUCUCCUACGAAGGCUGGCCUACUCUGGCAGCGGCAGCAAUCAUCUUCAAGAUUUAUCCAUGAUCACCCUUGCUGCUAUUUGUCACUCUUGUUAAUUACACUUUCUGCAUUUUUUCUAAUUUAUUAGGUAAUAAAGUAUGAGUAUGUGA